GUUAUUUCAUUAUUAGGGAAAAAAAUCACGUGAUCUAGAGGGCGCCUCCCUGUCAAGCGCAUUAAUAAUUUUCGCACAAACACUUGUAUAUGAAUAAUAAUUUACAUUUUCCAUAUGCAUUACAAAGUGAAUAUUUUUUUUUACAUGCAAUUAUCCAAAAUAAAACCAAACAAGAUUUGUAAUGAAGAUAAAAUGUAGACAAAUAAGAAUAAUUUAAAUGCGUCAAAUCUAAAAUAUGGUGUAGAGUAAAUAUAAGCACAGGCUCAUAGGCUUGACAUUUAUCCUGCUUGAAUUCGUUCUAAGAAACGCACACAUCUUCAUAAGGACUAAACUUUCAUCUGUGAAUAUUAAAUAUUUUAAUUAGCCUAAAGUGUUUUCCUUUCAUUUUCCCCGACUGCAGUCAAAUAUAACAAAACGGUGAGGCAAAGCUGACGUCUAUUCGCGAAAAUGUGCUUUGAUGCGCUUGUUUGAAAACUUGUGAUUAAAGCGCCAUUCAGCGGACAUGUAAACUUGCAAAACAUCACUAUAUUUACUUGUAAAACCAUGUCCUACAUAGGAGUUUGUUUGACCUGUUAGCCAUCUUCCAUGUUUUAGACCUCUGGCAGAGGUGUCUUUGGGGGACAUUGGUCAGCAGCACAAGAAACGUCACAGAAGUCCUCCAGCAAAAUAGAUGAGGAGGGCCUAGAACUUGCAGUUUGCCAGCAUGGUGUUCUUCUUUGUGCCCUUAAUAUGUUCAGGGGGAGGUUUUUGCUUACCCCUGUACCUCCAGAAAAAAAAUGGCUUGUAAGCCGGUGAAAUUUUUUGCUAUGGAUGUUGCGUGCAAGUACUGGCCUUACCUCCAGAGAGGGAACGAGAGAUGCCCUGAGCUUCAGGAUCUGCUCUCAAUGAAGCCAUUUCUAUCAGUGUUUCAUGCCAAAGCCCACGACUUCAAAUGUGAGGUAAGAAAAUGUGACUUUUCAUGUGAUGUUCUUUCCCUAAACAUAAUAUUGUUGCCACUUAGAUUUAUUAUUUUUUUCUUUUUUUAUUUGAAGGUAAAAUGGAGUGGGGCAUACCAGGAGGGGGCUGGUUUGACUCUUGGGGAGGAGGUGGAGCAAUGCAAUGCCUUCCUCUCGAGGAUUGCUGUUACGACAAAGCACAUGUCAAAAGCAGGACGCACAGACAUGCUCACAGUCAUGGCCAUGUGCUGGAAUCAGCAAAAGUUUAACAACUUGGCUUCAACACUUGCCUGCCGAUAUCAAAAGGUAAAGACACCAGUAAUCACUUAUGCAACAUAUAUAGCAGCAUGUGUAUUGUAAAAUAUAGUUACAUCACACUAAACAUUUAUAUGUAGUGUUCUCACACACACACACACACACAUACAUCUAUAUAUCUAUAUGUACAUGUGUGUUUGUGUGUGUGUAUAUAUAUAUAUAUAUAUAUAUAUAUAUAUACAUAUAUAUAUAUACAACAGUUCUUUCUGGUUCUGGAAUCUGAUUGGUUGAGAGCCUUGAUAUAUUCUACCGGUAUCACUUCAGGAAUGCCCUUUCACAUUUUGUAUUGCUCCGCUUGUUCUAGCCGGGUCUAUGUUUUGUUAAUGUAGUGUCAUGGCAGACGCUUAAAUCCACUUUAAUUUUAUAAAUAAUACUGUUUUGUGUCAAGGAAUGCAGUUUUAAGAGUUUUUUUUAGGUGAGAAUGUGCUAGCUUGGACUUCAAAUAUACGGUUUGUUAAUAAAGAUUGUCUUUCAAAAUUUGCUUUGACGUUUUCGGAGAAGGAGAUCCAUCAGCCCCAUGGCUGUUCAGCUUUCAUUACACCCACGAAGAGUGCCUCACAGCGGCCAGAUCUUCUGGAAUUUACCACUGGCUGUAAUGUCUCUAUACUCUUUUUCUGUAGUGCUUAAACAUGAGAUAUAAUAUCAUGCUGGGUAAAUCUAAAGGCCAGUCUUUGGUCUCAAUAAACUAUUAUAUGUUCCAGAGCAUAUAGCUUUAAAGACAUUUUAUCAAGUUUAUUUAAAUUCAAUGCUGCAUAUCUCACUGCCUUUGUACAGUUGACAGAAUUGCAUAGCAACUUUUAUUAUGUUUUUUUCUUUUAACAGCACUACUACAUGCAUACAUACACUCUCUAUAUAGAUAUAUAUACAUAUACAUAUACAUACAUACACAUAUAUACACACACACACACAUACAUCAUUGCAUACCAUAUAGGGACAAUUUCAGGUUAUGGAUGUGACAGAACAUGAGCAAGCAUAGUAUAAUUGCAAUAUUUUGGACAAACCCUAGUGUAUUCAUUAUUAUAUAGAUUCCAUGGCGUUUUAUUGGGACAAUGUGACAAACAGACCCCUUUCCAUGGAUUUGCCAUAUAUUAUAGUCCCUGUAUUUGCGAUUAUAUGUGCAGUAUAUUGAAUGAGUGCUGUAUAUGCUGUACAUUCCUUAUCAACACAGUUUAAAGCAUUACUACUGUCUGUCGCUGCUUCAUCAUUUGUUAUUUCUGUUUGAAGGCCACAAUAGCUCUGCAAAGACAGUUGCAUAAUUUGGAGGCCAUGAAAACUGAAAUGGCAGUUACAGAUGAUCAACUGGAGGGCUGGAUCACUGAUGUCAAUGAGUGGGCAGAAGGUAUAAAAUGCAGUUUGGUAUACUGCUUAAUGCAUUAUUUUUCUGUUCGUUGAAUUAUUGGUGAAACACAGUGUCAACUAAUGUGUCACCUGAUGGGAAGCAAAGAUAAAGUUAUUUCUGUCUAGUUUUGUGUUGUCAUAGACGCAUAGCUUAUUUUAGCAUCUUUAAAACUUUAAUUUCUUGUCAAGCUUUUAAUUGUUUGUUGCAAAUGCACAUAGCCUUGAACCUGUAGGAUACAUAGCCUUAUCCAGUAGGGUUACCACUCAGUUACAGAAAAGGUUGUUUGGGCCCACUGGCCAGAAAUUAUACUAUUUCAUGGAAUUAAGAAGCAUAUUUCCUACUUCUAUUCUGCUCAGCAACAACAUCCCCAAAUGAUGCUGAUGUUGCUGUUGUGGCCAGACGAAUUGAGGAGCUGGUCACCAAGGAGGUCCCAACGUCUUUAUAAAGACAUUGAUGGCUGCAAAGGUCGUGUCCGGAUACGCCAAAAGAUCAGGGAGGAAAAGAAAUGUUUAAUUCUGUGGUGGAUCAAUAUAACACCAUGGUCCCUAAUGCAGAAAACCUGGACUUGGACACCAUACUUUCAGACGACACCCUUUGGCCAUGGCAGCUUCCACAUGGUGAUAUGUACACAAGUCCAUUGACGUGAAAUACGUCUCGAAGUAGCACAAUGUUUUUGUUUUUUUUUAGCAAUGUUUACCCAGAUAAUCAAAGAAAACCUUUAAAUACUAAUCUUAAAAUCAACUGAUUUAUGUAUUCCAGACUCCGUAGGUCUAAGGACAAAGAGAAAGGCAUUUGACACAGUGAUGGCAGUAAGGAGACUUGAGGAGGAGAAGAGGAUUCUCAUUGCUGAGAUGGAAAAACACUGGAAAUCUCUUUGCACCGUGCAGACACUCCAAAGGAGAUGACAUCCCAGCUUUGCAGUGGGACAUCAAGUAUGUAUUUUAAGUUAUACUUGACAUGCAUUAUAUUUACCAGUAUGUUUCUGAAAGUCUGUAAUAUUUUUUCCCCGUAUAUAAGGUGAGAUGUGGGGCCUGAGUAAUGAGGGAAUCCAAGGUCUGCAGAGCUUAAUGAUGAAGAACACACAAGCCAUCAACAAAAUACUGAAGUGCAACAUCCAAUUUCCGUACAUGUGUUUACAUCAUUGUUUAGAUAACUCUCAAAAGAUCUUUUUUUCAGUCCAGUAUCAAUGAUUUCUAGAAAAAUACAUUUUGACAUGAGUUUCUUCAUGGUCGAACUCACAUGGCCUUUAGCACAGAUAAGUCUUCUCAAUAAAAUUCUUCUAAGCCCAGUAUACAGUACCUCUAACCUGCAUCUUUGAUUGGUAUGUCUUGCUGUGUUGAUAGAUAUUUGUUGCCAUUGGUCCAGGAGCUGUAUAACCACAUCAUGGAGGUUGGAGGUCUCAUAAACCCAGCAGUUAAAGGGGAUGUGUGUCGCGCAGAAAAAACUAAUGACAAUCUGGAAGCUGUGCUAAAUUGAACAUUUACCCUUAUUGUUAUAACCAUCAAUUCAAUGAUUCAAUUAUAAAAUGAUUUCGUUUUUAAGCUUAACUAUACUUGACUUAUUUUUCUUAUUUUCUGUCACAGAUUGUCCUUAUUUGUGUUAAUUGUAAUCUGUUUUUUUUCCUCUAUGUUUAUGAACUGGGACUGAAUACUCUGUAACCCAACUAAGUGAUUACCAAUAGUUAUGACAAUCAUGUAAAGUGUAACUGGAUUCUUAUUGCUUACUAUUUUCAGGCAUUUUAUAUAUUUCAUGGUGUUAAUGUGGUCAUUUUUUCCAGAUUUUGUCUCAUUUCUACAUUUUCAUUCAUUGUUUUAUGGAAUGAUAAUAAAACAUCUUUGAUCCUUAAAUAACCUUUGUAAUCUUUCUGUGUUGUCGACACACUAGAGGUCUUUGUUUUAUCUACCAUGUCAAUAUAUGUGUCACAUGCUGAUAUUUGUUUAUAAUAAUGACAGUAACUCUACCAUGGCCUUUGUGACAGUUAGGCCUACAGUUAACAUUAUUAACUUACAUACAUCAUAAAUGGUAAAAUUUGGCAUGUAAAAUCUAUGUAUCACCCAACAUAUGUGAGCAAAGUGAAAUUAAAGCUUAUACGUUCACAGACUCUGUAGCAUCCUCUGGAAAUGACAAUGUGCCAGGAAUGAUCAACGUGGUUCUUGUACUGCAUUAAAACCAAGAGCAUGCACAUUACUGAUGUCCAGCACAUGAGGAGAAGGAUAAGGGAGUGAGGUGGACAUUUUUACAUUUUACAUUUGCUAAUUAGAUUUAUUUUGAAUAUAUUGUGAUUCUUAGUACUGCAUGAAUUUGUAAUAGUAAUAGUGAAGUGUGUACAGUAGGUAGACAACCAAAAUGGAUAAUGCCGCGGCGUUAACUGCAAGUCAGUCGCGUGUGAAAUUAAUUCACGAAACUACCGCCAGAUGUCGCAAAGGGACGGAUUGCGAACUGAAUGUAAUUGUAAAAUGAGAUAAAAGGAGGAAGUAAAACAACAAUAACAUUAUGAUAUAACAUUGUAACAUCUUUAAAAAACAUUAAAAAAUGUACAGUGAGUUAAUUUCAAAAUGUAGGAUAGUUUUAGGCUACAGUCUACUCAUCAAAAAUUAAAAGAAGACCUUUACACAAAGGAU
ensembl:lncRNA